GAUGAACGCUGGCGGCGUGCUUAAUACAUGCAAGUCGAGCGAACAGACGAUGAUUUUGCUCCUCUGACGUUAGCGGCGGACGGGUGAGUAACACGUGGAUAACCUACCUAUAAGACUUGGAUAACUUCGGGAAACCGGAGCUAAUACCGGAUAAUAUAUUUAACCUCAUGGUUCAAUAGUGAAAGACGUGUUUGCUGUCACUUCUAGAUGGAUCCUCGCUGCAUUAGCUAGUUGGUAAGGUAACGGCUUACCAAGGCAACCAUGCGUGGCCGACCUGAGAGGGUGAUCGGCGACACUGGAACUGAGACACGGUACAGGGUCCUACGGGAGGCACCAGUAGGGAAAGGUCGGCAAUGGGCGGAAGCCUGACGGAGCAACGCAGCGUGGGUGGAGAAGGUCUUCGGAGCGUAAAACUCUGUUAUGGGGGAAAAACAAAUGUGUAAGUAACUAAGCACGUCUUGACGGUACCUAAUCAAGAAGCAACGGCUAACUACGUG
rnacentral:rRNA from 1 species